UGGGGAAUAUUGCACAAUGGGCGCAAGCCUGAUGCAGCCAUGCCGCGUGUGUGGAGAAGGCCUUCGGGUUGUAAAGCACUUUCAGCGGGGAGGAAGGUGGUGAGCUUAAUACGCUCAUCAAUUGACGUUACUCGCAGAAGAAGCACCGGCUAACUCCGUGCCAGCAGCCGCGGUAAUACGGAGGGUGCAAGCGUUAAUCGGAAUUACUGGGCGUAAAGCGCACGCAGGCGGUUUGUUAAGUCAGAUGUGAAAUCCCCGGGCUCAACCUGGGAACUGCAUUUGAAACUGGCAAGCUAGAGUCUCGUAGAGGGGGGUAGAAUUCCAGGUGUAGCGGUGAAAUGCGUAGAGAUCUGGAGGAAUACCGGUGGCGAAGGCGGCCCCCCUGGACGAAGACUGACGCUCAGGUGCGAAAAGCGUGGGGAGCAAAACAGGAUUAGAUACCCUGGUAGUCCACGCUGUAAAACGAUGUCGAUUUGGAGGUUGUGCCCUUGAGGCGUGGCUUCCGGAGCUAACG
rnacentral:rRNA from 1 species